rnacentral:snRNA from 1 species
AAGAAACCACCGACGGAGAA